GCUACGGGUGGCAGCAGUGGGGGAUAUUGCACAAUGGGGGGAACCCUGAUGCAGCGACGCCGCGUGGGUGAAGAAGCGCCUCGGCGCGUAAAGCCCUGUCAGCAGGGAAGAAAAUGACGGUACCUGAAGAAGAAGCCCCGGCUAACUACGGGCCAGCAGCCGCGGGAAUACGUAGGGGGUAAGCGGGAUCCGGAUGUACUGGGGGUAAAGGGGGCGCAGACGGCGAUGCAAGCCAGGAGUGAAAGCCCGGGGGCCAACCCCGGGACUGCUCUUGGAAGUGCGUGGCUGGAGUGCAGGAGGGGCAGGCGGAAUUCCUUGUGUAGCGGUGAAAUGCGUAGAUAUCAGGAGGAACACCGGUGGCGAAGGUGGCCUGCUGGACUGCAACUGACGUUGAGGCCCGAAAGCGUGGGGAGCAAACAGGAUUAGAUACCCUUGUAGUC
rnacentral:rRNA from 1 species